rnacentral:rRNA from 1 species
UGGCGACCGGGUGAGUACACGUGACUAACCUACCUCCGAGUGGGGAAUAACUCCGGGAAACCGGGGCUAAUACCGCAUAACAUCGCAAGAUCAAAGCAGCAAUGCGCUUGGAGAGGGGGUCGCGGCUGAUUAGCUAGUUGGCGGGGUAACGGCCCACCAAGGCGAAGAUCGGUAUCCGGCCUGAGAGGGCGCACGGACACACUGGAACUGAAACACGGUCCAGACUCCUACGGGAGGCAGCAGUGGGGAAUUUUGCGCAAUGGGGGAAACCCUGACGCAGCAACGCCGCGUGGAGGAUGAAGCCCUUUGGGGCGUAAACUCCUUUCGACUCGGACGAUAAUGACGGUACGAGUGGAAGAAGCACCGGCUAACUCUGUGCCAGCAGCCGCGGUAAUACAGAGGGUGCAAGCGUUGUUCGGAAUUAUUGGGCGUAAAGGGCGCGUAGGCGGUGCGGUAAGUCACCUGUGAAAUCUCCUGGCUUAACUGGGAGCCUGCAGGCGAAACUACCGUGCUGGAGUGUGGGAGAGGUGCGUGGAAUUCCCGGUGUAGCGGUGAAAUGCGUGGAUAUCGGGAGGAACACCUGUGGCGAAAGCGGCGCACUGGACCAUAACUGACGCUGAGGCGCGAAAGCUAGGGGAGCAAACAGGAUUAGAUACCCUGGUAGUCCUAGCCCUAAACGAUGAUUGCUUGGUGUAGCAGGUACCCAAUCCUGCUGUGCCGCAGCUAACGCGAUAAGCAAUCCGCCUGGGGAGUACGGUCGCAAGGCUGAAACUCAAAGGAAUUGACGGGGGCCCGCACAAGCGGUGGAGCAUGUGGUUCAA